UGGGGAAUUUUGGACAAUGGGCGAAAGCCUGAUCCAGCAAUGCCGCGUGUGUGAAGAAGGCCUUCGGGUUGUAAAGCACUUUUGUCCGGAAAGAAAUCCUUGGCUCUAAUACAGUCGGGGGAUGACGGUACCGGAAGAAUAAGCACCGGCUAACUACGUGCCAGCAGCCGCGGUAAUACGUAUGGUGCAAGCGUUAAUCGGAAUUACUGGGCGUAAAGCGUGCGCAGGCGGUUUGCUAAGACCGAUGUGAAAUCCCCGGGCUCAACCUGGGAACUGCAUUGGUGACUGGCAGGCUAGAGUAUGGCAGAGGGGGGUAGAAUUCCACGUGUAGCAGUGAAAUGCGUAGAGAUGUGGAGGAAUACCGAUGGCGAAGGCAGCCCCCUGGGCCAAUACUGACGCUCGUGCACGAAAGCGUGGGGAGCAAACAGGAUUAGAUACCCUGGUAGUCCACGCCCUAAACGAUGUCAACUAGUUGUUGGGGAUUCAUUUCCUUAGUAACGUAGCUAACGCGUGAAGUUGACCGCCUGGGGAGUACGGUCGCAAGAUUAAAACUUAAAGGAAUUGACGGGGUCAUAGCUGUUUCCU
rnacentral:rRNA from 1 species